CCAGCAGCCGCGGUAAUUCCAGCUCCAAUAGCGUAUAUUAAAGUUGCUGCAGUUAAAAAGCUCGUAGUUGAUAAUCGGUGCUCGUCUCGGCGGUCCUGUUCACGCAGGCACUGCCUUGGCGGCACUUACACAUAGGCUGCUGGGUGCCAGUGGCAGGAAACUGUUGCUGGUAGCCAAAGCCCCGGGUGCCCUUUAAUGGGUGGCCGUGGGUGGCCUAUGCGUUUACUUUGAAGAAAUUAGAGUGUUCAAAGCGGGCUCUUGUAGCUCGAAUAGUCGUACAUGGAAUAAUGGAAAAGGACUCUGGUCCAUUUUCGUUGGUCUAUGGACAUUGAGUAAUGAUUAAAAGGGACUGCCGGGGGCAUUGGUAUGGCGGGGGUAGAGGUGAAAUUCGGUGAUCCUCGCCAGACCGACUACAGCGAAAGCAUUUGCCAAGAAUGUCUUCAUUAAUCAAGAACGAAAGU
rnacentral:rRNA from 1 species